UUUGCCGUGAGGACGAUAUGAUAAAGCCUACUCAAGAAAUUUGCAAAUUUCAAAACAAUAAAUCGAAUCGACCACAACUUUCUACUUCAACCUACAAAUCAACAUAUGCAUGUUAAUUCCCGAAAGAAAGCCAAGGAAACAGUGGUGAUAUUUUGGUCAUAUUGCUGCAUGGAACCUCCCAAAAAAUCAAUCUCCGACAAGGUUUCAUCCUUAUUAGGCAAUUCCUGGGAAGACAAAAUAAAAUACUCAGACAGUGCAAAGUUACCAUAUAUGGUAAAGAGAUUGCUGAUUGGUCAGCUCAAAACAACGUGUUCAUCCGUGUGUUUUUAAUGGCGUUUUAAUUUCCGUUGUCUGUUAUUUCAAACAUAAUAUUAGAAUCCAUGUAGCAGCAUAUUCCUAUGAAUUUAUACUUAUUGCAUAGUAAAGAAAUUUUCAGCAUUGAAUAUUAUAUUAAAUAGAUUGUUGUAGUAAUUUUUAAUGACUUUGUAUAGAAUACUUGGUAUUUUUCCUUCGGUCAGAUUAGGCGUCUCCUGAAAUGCCUCACCAAGUAUGUCAACAUCGUCGAGAACGUAGAAAAGAAUUAAAAGACAGGAAUUAAA